CCAUGUAGGUUACUUUGCCGUUCUGCUUCUCUUUUUAUUAUUAGGGGUUUGGCUGUUUUGGCUUUAGAUGUUGUGGUAAUGAUGAUGCUGGUGCAUUGAGAUUGUAACGGAGGAGAACGUGGAGGAGGAGGAGAGGCNACAAUGCAGGGCCUGACGCACUGGAAGGAGGCAACAGUAGUAAGAGAUGAAUGGAGAAGGGUUUGUGAUUGAGAGCUCAACACCCAUAAACCAGGAAAAGGGCCUCUGGGAAGUAGCAGUGACAGUGAGGACAAUGAAUGACUAGAGAGAGACACAAAUUAGCUUUGAGAAUUGAG
rnacentral:misc_RNA from 1 species